GUCAACUUGCUUAGUUCAGCCUAAAGGCACCAGAUCCCACCUGAUCUUGGAAGAUAAAACUAAGUCAGCUUUAGUUAGUACUUGGAUGGGAGAGCACCCAUUAAUAUUAGGUUCUGUUGGGU
rnacentral:rRNA from 11 species